rnacentral:rRNA from 1 species
UCCGUAGGCGGGUCAUUAAGUCAGCGGUGAAAUCCCACAGCUUAACUGUGGAACUGCCUUAGAUACUGAUGAUCUUGAGUUUUAGUGAAGUAGAUAGAAUGUGUAGUGUAGCGGUGAAAUGCAUAGAUAUUACACAGAAUACCGAUUGCGAAGGCAGUCUACUAACUAACAACUGACGCUAAUGGACGAAAGCGUGGGGAGCGAACAGGAUUAGAUACCCUGGUAGUCC